UACGAAGGGGGCUAGCGUUGUUCGGAAUCACUGGGCGUAAAGCGCACGUAGGCGGAUGUGCCAGUCAGGGGUGAAAUCCCGGAGCUCAACUUCGGAACUGCCUCUGAUACAGCACGUCUUGAGUCCGGAAGAGGUGGGUGGAAUUCCUAGUGUAGAGGUGAAAUUCGUAGAUAUUAGGAAGAACACCGGUGGCGAAGGCGGCCCACUGGUCCGGUACUGACGCUGAGGAGCGAAAGCGUGGGGAGCGAACAGG
rnacentral:rRNA from 1 species